AACACAUCAUACUGCUGGCUUGACUUGCCUUUUUCUUCACAUUUACCUUCCUAAGCUUGAACCUCCCAAAAAAGGAACCAGGACUUGAAUCCUGACCCCAGGCUCUGCAAUCUAGAGAAAGUGGGCUGAAACAUAGCUGGUCAUGAAAAUUGCUAUGGUCUGAGAUGCGAGAAAUGACCACCUAAAGACCGAAUUGAGCCAAACUGGGAGUCUUUAUUAGCUGGCUAGUGACUACCCUCUGCACUGCGAAAGGCGGCAGCACAGAGAGCAGCCCUGAGCUGAAAAAGCAAGCAGGCUGAAUGUUAAAGUUUUUCUCCGGGGGUGCUUUACAAAAAUCAAGGAAGAACUGAGGAACUUUUCCAGACUGAAAGACACCAAUGAGACAUGACAACUAAAUGCAACCAGUGAUUCUGAACUAUAUCCUUUUGCUAUAAAGUACAAUGUUGGAACAACUGGCAACACUUGAAUGGGAUCUGAAGAGUAGGUGGAUAGUAACAAUGUUAAUUUCCUGAUUUUGAUAGUCGUCUUAUGGUUAUGUAGGAGAUCAUUGUUGUUUAAGAAAAUAAACACUAAAUUAUUCUGGGUAAUGAAGCAUAACA